UAGGGAAUCUUCCACAAUGGACGAAAGUCUGAUGGAGCAACGCCGCGUGAACGAUGAAGGCUUUCGGGUCGUAAAGUUCUGUUGUAAGGGAAAAACAAGUGCCGCAGGCAAUGGCGGCACCUUGACGGUACCUUGCGAAAAAGCCACGGUUAACUACGUGCCAGCAGCCGCGGUAAUACGUAGGUGGCAAGCGUUGUCCGGAAUUAUUGGGCGUAAAGCGCGCGCAGGCGGCCUCUUAAGUCUGAUGUGAAAGCCCCCGGCUCAACCGGGGAGGGCCAUUGAAAACUGGGAGGCUUGAGUAUAGGAGAGAAGAGUGGGAAUUUCCACGUGUAGCGGUGAAAUGCGUAGAGAUGUGGAGGAACACCAGUGGCGAAGGCGACUCUUUGGCCUAUAACUGACGCUGAGGCGCGAGAGCGUGGGGAGCAAACAGGAUUAGAUACCCUGGUAGUCCACGCCGUAAACGAUGAGUGCUAGGUGUUGGAGGGUUUCCGCCCUUCAGUGCUGAAGCUAACGCAUUAAGCACUCCGCCUGGGGAGUACGGUC
rnacentral:rRNA from 1 species